rnacentral:rRNA from 1 species
CCUACGGGAGGCAGCAGCAAGGAAUCUUCCGCAAUGGGGGCAACCCUGACGGAGCAACGCCGCGUGGGGGAUGACGCCCUUCGGGGUGUAAACCCCUUUUCUUCGGGAAGAAGAUCUGACGGUACCGGAGGAAGAAGGACCGGCUAACUACGUGCCAGCAGCCGCGGUAAUACGUAGGGUCCGAGCGUUGUCCGGAGUUACUGGGCGUACCGCGCGCGCAGGCGGCGGUGCUGGCCCGGCGUGAAAGCCCCCGGCUCAACCGGGGAGGGUCGUCGGGGACCGCACCGCUUGAGGGCGGUAGGGGCUGGUGGAAUGCCUGGUGUACUGGUGAAAUGCGUAUAGAUCCGGCCGAACACCCGUGGCGAAGGCGGCCAGCUGGGCCGUCCCUGACGCUGAGGCGCGAAGGCGUGGGGAGCGAACGGGAUUAGAUACCCCGGUAGUCUGCGCGUGAAACGAUGCAUACUAUGCGUGGGGGGAGUUGACCCCCUCCGUGCCCCAGCCCACGCGGCAAGUCGGCCGCCUGGGGAGUACGGCCGCAACGCUACCCCUCACAGGAAUUGACGGGGGCCCGCACAAGCGGCGGAGCGUGCGGUUUAAUUCCACGCUACGCAUACAACCUUACCAAGGCUUGAUUGCGCCUGCUUCCUCCUGAUAGGCAUUGGCCUUCGACCGUGUCUCACAGGUGCUGCCUGGUUGUCGUCAACUCGUGCCGCGAGGUGUUGAGUUAAGUCCCACAACGAGCGCAACCCCUGUGGGUAUAUACCUGAUCUAUCCAACUGACUGUCGCACACUCUAUGAACGUCGUAAUCACGCCAAGUCAGCAUGGCCUUACUCUUGGGACACACGCACCCUCUAAUGGUAGGUACCUCGGGCACCUAAGCCGUGAGGCCGCAACUAAUCCCUCUACUCCGCCCCCAGUUCCCAUC